GCUAUUGGAGUUCGAUUAAGCCAUGCGAGUCGAGAGUCCUCGGGACUCGGCGUACCGCUCAGUAACACGUGGGUAACCUGCCCUAUGCUGGGGAAUAACCUCGGGAAACUGAGAAUAAUGCCCCAUAGCCCACUACGCCUGGAGCGGUGAGUGGGUCAAAGCUCCGGCGGCAUAGGAUGGGCCUGCGCCGUAUCAGGUUGUAGGGGGUGUAAAGUACCCUCUAGCCAUCAACGCGUACGGGUGUUGGGAGACAUUGCCCGGAGAUGGAUUCUGAGACACGAAUCCAGACCCUACGGGGUGCAGCAGGCGCGAAAACUUGGCAAUGCGAGCAAUCGUGACCAGGGAACUCCAAGUGCGUAGGGUAAGACCUACKCUUUUCUUGACUCUUCAAAGGUCUUGGAAUAAGGGGUGGGUAAGGACGGUGCCAGCCGCCGCGGUAAUACCGGCGCCUCAAGUGGUAGUCGCUUUUAUUGGGCCUAAAACGUCCGUAGCCGGUCUGGUGCAUUCGUGGGUAAAUCAACCCGCUCAACGGGUUGAAUUCUGCGAGCACGGCCAGACUUGGGACCGGGAGAGGUGUGGGGUACUCUCAGGGUAGGGGUAAAAUCCUGUCAUCCUGAGAGGACCACCUGUUGCGAAGGCGCCACACUAGAACGGAUCCGACGGUCAGGGACGAAACCUAGGGGCACGAACCGGAUUAGAUACCCGGGUAGUCCUAGGUGUAAACGCUGUGGACUUGAUGUUGGGGGCGCUCCGAGCGCUCUCAGUGUCGAAGCGAAGGUGAUAAGUCCACUGCCUGGGGAGUACGGUCGCAAGGCUGAAACUUAAAGGAAUUGGCGGGGGAGCACUGC
rnacentral:rRNA from 1 species